UUCAGGAGGAGACAUUCGCUAAACUUGAGCAGACCAGGAAGGAGGAGUGGGUAUCUGUUGUGUCAUGGAUUACAGUCUUCUUCAUCUCCCGGCUUCAACUCAUGUCCUCUACAAUCCAUUCUCUGCAUAUCAAAUUUUCAGGAAGACUCGCCCUGAGCUAACAUCUGUUGCCAAUCUUCCCCUUUUUGCUUGAGAAAGAUUCACCCUGAGCUAACAUCUGUACCAAUCUUCCUCUAUUUUGCAUGGGGGAUGCCUCCACAGCAUGGCCACCAAUGAGCUGUGCAGUCUCCAACUGAAAGCCAGCAGGGAACCAAGGCUUCCCAACAAUCACAUGAAUGAGUUUUGAAGUGACUUUGCAACCCUACUAAAGUCUUGAGAUCCCUGCAGCCCAGCGUACAACUUGUCCGCAACCUCUUGAGAGCUCCUCAUGCAGAACUUCCCAGGUUUUCAAUUCAAAGAUGAUGACCUCCAUUCAUGAACAUCAGGUCCUUCUCCCUUAACGACCCAAGGAAAGCUGCAUUUCUCAAUCCCAUUCCUGUUGGGCAGGACUAUACCAGUAGAGCUAUCCAAUGGAGAGUGAGAAGCCCUGGAGCGGUUCUCCUGGUUCUCUUCCCCAGACCAAGUAAAAGAAAACAAAACAAAAAAAAAAACAAACAAAUAAACUAAAACAGAAACAAACGCACACACACUUGUUU